GUUCUUCUAGUCUAAUGCUUAGUUUAACAUCUAAAAGGAUAUUGCUAUUUAUCGCAAAGGUACGGGUUCAAGUCCCGUAAAGGACUA
rnacentral:tRNA from 1 species